UACAGAGGGUGCAAGCGUUAAUCGAAAUGACUGGGCGUAAAGGGCGCGUAGGCGGCUGAUUAAGUUAGAUGUGAAAGCCCUGGGCUUAACCUAGGAACGGCAUUUAAUACUGGUCAGCUAGAGUAGGAUAGAGGGUAGUGGAAUUUCCGGUGUAGCGGUGAAAUGCGUAGAUAUCGGAAGGAACAUCGAUGGCGAAGGCAGCUACCUGGGUCCAAACUGACGCUGAGGCGCGAAGGCGUGGGGAGCAAACAGG
rnacentral:rRNA from 1 species